UGAUCUUAGCCUCCUCAUCUGGCUUCACGUUUUGGACUUUCUCUGAGAGAUGAUCAAGAUUAGAAUGUGCAUCAGUGAAUUGGGUUUGGAGAUUGAUAUUCUGAUCCUCUACAAUUUGGUUUAGAUCCUCUACUCCAUGCAUCUUUUUUUCCAUCUUCGUCAGUUGGUCAUUCAAUUUAUGUUUGUCGUUGAUAAGAUUCUCCUUAUCCUUUUCCAGAAUUCGAAUCUGCUCGUGAAGUUCAUCAGUUUCUGUUCUCAGUCUCUUCACCAUAGCGCUCUGCGAUGAUACUGAAGUUUCCAAAUUGAUCACUUUGUUCACUAGCUCAUCAAUCUUCUCUGCCAUCUCUGCUACACUGAAUGAUGAAUUGGAGCUAGUUUCAAAGUUCUCUUUAAGGUUCUUUUUUAAUAAUUGCAGCUCCUGCUUCUUCCGAGUCAAAUCAUUGGCAUUUUCAUCUAACUCUGUUUCUGCUAUUAUUUUUAAAUCACUUUGGAUCCCUGGCUCUUUAGAAUUCUUCCGUUCAUAAUGGAAUUCGUCCAUGAGAGAGCCCACCUUGGCCUUGACAUCCUUUACCCUUUUGGACUCGAUUUUAGUUUCAUCAAGUGAUCUUUCCUGUUUCUUUUCUAACUGCGUCAAUGCCUCUUGGCAUGAUUGAAGAGCAGCUCCUGCUAUCAAACGCCGAGCUUCAUCAUCUUCAAUGUCAACACCUUCUCCAAGUUCUUCAUGCAGAGAGGAAACUCUCUCUUGCAAUUCCUUUAUUUGCUCCUCAGUGUCCCAGUACCUACUAAGGGAAUUCUCAUAAGAGUUCUUUGCAAAUUCUUUCACAGUUUGUAGGGCCAGAAUCUCUUUCUGCAGCUUGUCAAUCUCUUCAAGGGCAUCUUUUCUGCUCAAACCAGAUUUAGGAACUUUUGGAGUAGCAGCAGCUGCAGUGGCAGCUGCUAUCUUGGAUUGCAAUUUCUUUGUGGCUGUUGCUGCUGUUAUGACCGUUUUCAAAUCUUUAUGGGGAGGCUUUGGUAUAUUUUUCAACCCUUCUGUUUUUUUUUUUGGAAGCCUUUGUGAUGGAUCAUCGUCAUCUUCAUCCAUAAGUGGGACGCGAUCUGGAAAGACAGAAGCAAUGGUGUUGUUGGCAUUUUGUAACUCUGUUGAUAUGUGAUCAUAUCGUUCGGCUAAAGCCCGGUAAGCCUUGAAUGAUUCCUCCACAAAGAUUAUCAGUUCCGGUCUCCUUUUGUAAUACAUUUCUGCUCUCUUGGCAAAAGAGUCACCCUCUUCCGCUAAGAGCUUCAUAACACUUUGCACUUUUUCCUCCAUAUCUGCAGUGUUGUUUAUAUAUUUUAGAUACCCAACUAAAUUCAUUUAUAAAGGCAAAGACACAUAAAAGUGGGCUGUGUUCAUCUUACACAGUCAUCUAGCCGUGGCUCGAGCAAAUUUUUAAUUCAGUAUUCUAAUUCAUAAUAUGGAAACAGGUAUGUAUCCUUAUAUCCACAUGUUAAGCAUCUCCGUAAAUUCUAAGUUUAUAGGAAAUUACUUCAAUAACUUCAAGGAAUGCAAACUACAAUUUCUCAAAAAAGCAUAUGUUCGAUGAGAGAAAAUGAAGCUAAUCAACAUCAGAAAGGCAUUUUAUCAAGAACAGGGGGGAGAUGGAGUCAUUCUAUGCCGCAAUUUCUCUCUCAAAUUGGCCAAAGUUAGCAUUACAAUUUGAGAAAAUUCUAUUAAAAAAGUGAUAAAGGAGGUGCAUGCGUACCCUCUGAUUAGUAAAGGUUCAGAUUUGAAAAUCAUAGCAGGUUACGAAGUAUUUUCAGAAUCCAUAUAAAGCAAUCAAACCUUGAGCAUGAGUAACAUCAAAUCCUUUUCUUAAGCGUCUCUCCACUCAUGCAGUCGAAUUACCCGAUUACGGAUAAAUGUUCUUUAGAUAACACAAUUUUAAUACAAGGCAUGCAUAAUUUAAAGAUUUAAUUCCAUGGUGAAUUCAAAUUGACCAUCUAAAGCGCGCGCACACACACAAACACAUUUAUAUAAUAAUCUAACGUUGAAAGCAAGGCAGAGAAGCUACCCGUUUACAUCACAUCCAUGAAUGUUACAAAAAUUCAAUCAGAAAAAGGAAGCUGAUCAUGCCUUUACUAUGAGAAAGGAAAAUGAAGAUAAAGUCAUGAUCACCUUGAAGGUUUUGCUCCAUCCAUUUUGAUUGUUUUGUUCGGAUGUGGCUAACCCACCACCAUGAAUAAGCAUUGCUUGCGGCUCUCUGCAACAUAUUGGUUGCUUGUUUGUUGUGUUUGUGGUCGUGAUUGGUGUGUAUUGAGAUUUUAAUAAGGUGAGAGUGAAAAUCAUGCAAACCGUGUUUCUCCUAUUUCUCUAUCCGUUUGAGAUGGAGAAGAGAAGACAUGGAUUCCAUGACAAGAAAGGGAGUAAGGGAAGAGAGUGGAAAAAAAAAAAAAUAAGAGAAAAAGAUAAUGAAGAGAGAAAACGUGGGAACUAAGAUGUUGUGCUAAUUAUGGGAUGAUGGAGGGGAGCAAAGUUCGCACCAAUUUAUUGUGCAAACCUUACUUUUCAAAAAGCAUUGCAAUAAAAUGAUAUAAAGAAUGACAUAAUGCAUGCAUUCAAAGCCCCACGUGCCUUUUCCAUUCUCCAGCUUUCCUUGCUUUUUACACCUUUCAUCUCUUUCUCUCUUAAAUUAUACUCUCUGCGCUGUCAAACUCUUCAAACAACAAUCCAACCUCGAAUUUUCAAGCUUCCAUAAGCGAGUCAAAAUAUUACUUGCCAAAAAAAGUAAUUCUUUUUAAAAUUAAAUAAGCAUUUCCUUGAAAUAACCUAAUCCUAACAACUGAGAAGAUAACAUUAAAAUAUUACAUAUCACCAAAUUAAAUUCAUAAUUCAAAAAUUACUCUUUUAAUAUUUACAUGUUUUUAUAAAGCUAUAAACUUCAUUAGAUUAGAUUAGAUUAACUAGUUAGUUAUAUCCUUAAGCUGAUAUUUUCUUGAUCGCAAAUCUUCAUUUCAAAAGAUAUUUUUUCUUCACUUCUCCCACCAUACUGCUAUGAAGUUGACUUUCAGGUUAAAAUUAACUUAUUAUUUUAUAAUAUUAGAUCCAAAAUCUGUAACGUCCCGGCAACUUACAGGAACUCUUAGUCAUGGAGUUUUUAUGGGUUAGGCUACCGAAAAGCAAAUGCAUUUUGGUGAUAUAGAUAGUCAAAUCAAUUCCUUUAAGCUAUCUUUCAACCGUAUAAUGUCAUACCUAUACAGUCUCUAGAUCCCUCUCAUUCCGGUGUAUGUUCAAUUCGUUUAUGUAUCCUUUCCACUGAAAGUCUGUCAGGAGUCACUCCUUGUCCGUGCCUCCUGUAUCAUGUCUCUUGCAUCGGCGAUCACUCUCCACCCUCUUUAGUGUCUGGAUGUCACAAUAUCUAUUUUAAUUAAAUUUAUUAUUUUAUUGAAUUAUUUAUUUUAGUUUAUGAAUUAGUGUGAGAAAAUAUAAAUGUGUCUGUUUUGUGAAAUUUAUGAAAGGAAAAAGUUGCAUAGGAAAGGUGUAAUGAAGGUGGCGGUGGCCGACUUCGCAGAAAGAUGAGACUUUGUUGACAAAGUUUAACAAAGCAUCUGAGAGAGAAAUAAAAAUACAAAAUUUCGUCUUUCUGUUAUUUUUGGAGGCACGUUCUGUUAACUACUUUGGCCUGCAAUGACGUUAUAAAUAUCAAAAUGUUUAAUAAUUUUAGAAACCUCUUUGACUAAUAUAAUACCCUUGUUUUCAGCUUCUACCUUUCUUCUAAUCUAACUCUAAAAGAUUAUAUCACCUCAAUAACAUAAUUUAACUCAAAACAUCAUAACUAAUUACUAUCCUAAAUAUUUAAAAUAAUAAAUUUUGUUUUAGGUUUGGAGUACACUUACUUUUUUUUUUAAAAUUAGUUUUUGA
rnacentral:lncRNA from 1 species